AUACCGAAGUGUUAGGCAGAGGCUCCUGUAUAAACAUAAGCUAUCGCCCAAAAAUGUCGAGAGACGCCAAUGGGUAAAACAGAGAUUGUCGAAAUAAGGCUUUCUCCAGGUAGCUAAGAAAUUUUUCUUUACGUUAUACAGUGCUAAAACUCAGACGAAGCAACUCAAU
rnacentral:sRNA from 2 species